rnacentral:rRNA from 1 species
GAUGAACGCUGGCGGCGUGCCUAAUACAUGCAAGUCGAGCGAACAGAUAAGGAGCUUGCUCCUUUGACGUUAGCGGCGGACGGGUGAGUAACACGUGGGUAACCUACCUAUAAGACUGGGAUAACUUCGGGAAACCGGAGCUAAUACCGGAUAACAUUUGGAACCGCAUGGUUCUAAAGUGAAAGAUGGUUUUGCUAUCACUUAUAGAUGGACCCGCGCCGUAUUAGCUAGUUGGUAAGGUAACGGCUUACCAAGGCGACGAUACGUAGCCGACCUGAGAGGGUGAUCGGCCACACUGGAACUGGGACACGCUCCAGACUCCUACGGGAGGCAGCAGUAGGGAAUCUUCCGCAAUGGGCGAAAGCCUGACGGAGCAACGCCGCGUGAGUGAUGAAGGGGUUCGGCUCGUAAAACUCUGUUAUUAGGGAAGAACAAACGUGUAAGUAACUGUGCACGUCUUGACGGUACCUAAUCAGAAAGCCACGGCUAACUACGUG